rnacentral:rRNA from 1 species
ACGGUAGCACAGAGAGCUUGCUCUCGGGUGACGAGUGGCGGACGGGUGAGUAAUGUCUGGGAAACUGCCUGAUGGAGGGGGAUAACUACUGGAAACGGUAGCUAAUACCGCAUAACGUCGCAAGACCAAAGAGGGGGACCUUCGGGCCUCUUGCCAUCAGAUGUGCCCAGAUGGGAUUAGCUAGUAGGUGGGGUAACGGCUCACCUAGGCGACGAUCCCUAGCUGGUCUGAGAGGAUGACCAGCCACACUGGAACUGAGACACGGUCCAGACUCCUACGGGAGGCAGCAGUGGGGAAUAUUGCACAAUGGGCGCAAGCCUGAUGCAGCCAUGCCGCGUGUAUGAAGAAGGCCUUCGGGUUGUAAAGUACUUUCAGCGGGGAGGAAGGUGUUGUGGUUAAUAACCGCAGCAAUUGACGUUACCCGCAGAAGAAGCACCGGGCUAACUCCGUGCCAGCAGCCGCGGUAAUACGGAGGGUGCAAGCGUUAAUCGGAAUUACUGGGCGUAAAGCGCACGCAGGCGGUCUGUCAAGUCGGAUGUGAAAUCCCCGGGCUCAACCUGGGAACUGCAUUCGAAACUGGCAGGCUAGAGUCUUGUAGAGGGGGGUAGAAUUCCAGGUGUAGCGGUGAAAUGC